rnacentral:miRNA from 1 species
CUCUGACCGUUUACCUUGCUUCCUUGAGCUUCUGGCAAAAAUAUCUCUAAUGAGAGUGAGAGCAGGACUUUUUUUUCUGUAUUUGUAUUAAAUUUUUGUAUCACACAGCCUGGUUACAAUGCUGCCGCCCAUCCCAUGUGUUCCCUAUUAAGGGUUAAUAAGUAUAUAGGGGGUAUAUAAAAAAUACCCCUCUCUGUCUCAGUUUUGAUAUCUUUGCCAGAAGCUCAAGGAAGCAGGGUGAAAGGUCAGUGU